GUUUGAUUUUACGACUUGGGGCACCUAGAUGUCUUGGGCUUGUUGUGCAUUACCCGUCACGCUACUGUGUCUAUUCAAUAAUAUAAACAAUGAUAUAUGUAUAAAAAAUUAAAAUGUAUGUAAUACACAUUGGUUUUAGUAUUGGUGUCAACUUUUACCCUGCAUGAGUAAAAUUGUGGGGGUUGUCAUAGGUUUAGGAUAUGUGUAAUAAAAUGAACACGAGUAAAUUUGGAUUAAAGAAUUAAGAAAAAGUUCAAUUAUAAUUUUUUUUCUUUUAGAAUUUUGAUUCGUUAAAUGUGCGUACAAAUCAUUAUACUCCAUUGUCANUGGCUAUUCAAUAAUAUAAACAAUGAUAUAUGUAUAAAAAAUUAAAAUGUAUGUAAUACACAUUGGUUUUAGUAUUGGAGUCAACUUUUACCCUGCAUAAGUAAAAUUGUGGGGGUUGUCAUAGGUUUAGGAUAUGUGUAAUAAAAUGAACACGAGUAAAUUUGGAUUAAAGAAUUAAGAAAAAGUUCAAAAGUACAAAUCAUUAUACUCCAUUGUCAUUUGGAUCAAAUCCACUACAAAGUGAUAUUAAAGAUUACGUUCGAUCAGGAUAUAUUAAUUUGGAUAAACCAUCAAAUCCGAGUUCCCACGAG